UAUCUUAGGUCCCUUGAGAAGAAAGUAAGUCCCGUGUGCAGUCCUUUGAAAUGUCCAAGAGAGAUCCUGGUUCUGAGAAUGGCAGUCUCCUUGCAGUGCGUGGAGGAGCUCCCGGCUGCCUUCCCGGCGAUGGGACUUCCCUCCUCCGCCGGGUGCGCCCCUCACAUCGCCGCCCCCCCCCGCCGCUCCUUCC